GAUGAACGCUGGCGGCGUGCUUAACACAUGCAAGUCGAACGAAGCAUUUAAGACAGAUUACUUCGGUUUGAAGUCUUUUAUGACUGAGUGGCGGACGGGUGAGUAACGCGUGGGUAACCUGCCUCAUACAGGGGGAUAGCAGCUGGAAACGGCUGGUAAUACCGCAUAAGCGCACAGUACCACAUGGUACAGUGUGAAAAACUCCGGUGGUAUGAGAUGGACCCGCGUCUGAUUAGCUUGUUGGCGGGGUAACGGCCCACCAAGGCGACGAUCAGUAGCCGAACUGAGAGGGUGACCGGCCACAGUGGGACUGAGACACGGACCAGACUCCUACGGGAGGCAGCAGUGGGGAAUAUUGCACAAUGGAGGAAACUCUGAUGCAGCGACGCCGCGUGAGUGAAGAAGUAGUUCGCUAUGUAAAGCUCUAUCAGCAGGGAAGAUAGUGACGGUACCUGACUAAGAAGCUCCGGCUAAAUACGUG
rnacentral:rRNA from 1 species